UACGUAGGGUGCGAGCGUUACUCGGAAUUACUGGGCGUAAAGCGUGCGCAGGCGGUCUGUUAAGACCGAUGUGAAAUCCCCGGGCUUAACCUGGGAACUGCGUUGGUGACUGGCAGGCUUUGAGUGUGGCAGAGGGAGGUAGAAUUCCACGUGUAGCAGUGAAAUGCGUAGAGAUGUGGAGGAACACCGAUGGCGAAGGCAGCCCCCUGGGCUGAGAUUGACGCUCAGGCACGAAAGCGUGGGGAGCAAACAGG
rnacentral:rRNA from 1 species